rnacentral:lncRNA from 1 species
CUCUAUCAUACAUUUCAGAAACGUAUCUUACAUAACAUUACUCUUGUGUUCAAUACAAACGUAACAAACAUAGAUUACUUAACAUAACGAGUCAUCAUUUCAAAGUUUUCAUUUGAAUGCAAGUUCCUUGUACAAACAUUAUUCUUGUGUUCAUACUUCAGUUCAACUUAACGAGCAUUAUAACAACUUAGAAGUCAAACUUAUUAAGUUGUUUAAAAAAAAAAAGAAGUCAAACCUAUUAAAAAACAGAAGCAACAAAAUAGUUUAGUCCAAGCAAUAUAACGUGGCUUCGGUAAAAACCUUAUCGGGAAAACUCAUUGGGACAAAACCCGACAAGGGAAAAAGAACGCCACAAAAUCCAUAAUGCGAAUAAAAUAAAAAGACCAGUUCAAAAUAAAAAUCAAGUUUCUUCUUCUUCAACUUCAACUAUCUCUUCUUCACCAUCCAUUUCAUCUUCUGUAAAUAUUAAAAAUCAAAGUUAAUUAGAUUUAAAGAACAUGACACCCUAAAAUAUAUAACAAAGUGAAUAAUUUACCAUGUUCAUAAGCUUCGAAUCCUUUUAGCCAAUUCCUACUACAUAUCAGCGCCUGCACAUUUUUGGGAAGUAGACGGCUCCUGUAUUUGUUCAGAACUCUCGAACCGAUGCUAAAGGAGGAUUCUGAAGCCACUGUUGUGAUCGGAAUGCUAAGCAGAUCACAAGCCAUUGCUGGCAAAUCACCAAAUCUGUGAGUAUUAUCUUUCCACCAGUCGAGAAUAUCCAAACUUUCAAAGCUAUCCAUAUCUAGCGCAGGUUCAUCCAAAUAAGCUUGGAGAGCUGUCUUUCCACUCGCAGCAACACUACUUUUGCGAAAAGCAAAAAAAUCCUGUAGUGUUUAAAAAAAAAUUUAAAAACAAUUUGAAGGAAUAUCCAAACUUUCAAAGCUAUCUAUAUCUACUGCAGGUUCAUAAGUAAUUUAUAAAAAAAAACGAAACAUGAGACUUACACCAUAGUUCUCAAAUGUUCCUUUCGGUCCUCCAUGAACAUUUUGUUGAUCCAUCUCACGAGGCUCUGCAGAAGGUGAUGUUGACUUUGAUUUUUUGUCGUAUGAUUGAAACAAAGUUUCCAGCUUCAGACGCAAGUUCUUCAUUUUCGCAUCACGUGUACUCAUGUCAAGUCUCCCUAAACAAUAUUCUACAACUGGAAGCUUCAAGCGUGGAUCAAAGACAGCUGUCAUUGCAAAAAGAUCACUGACUUCUUCCCAGUACUUAUCGAACUUCUCUAUCAUCGGUAUCACCAUCUCUCGGAUAAUCUCAUCAUCGCUUUCCUCAUUUAUCUGCAGCCAAUUAUGGAUCUUCCAUACCUGAAAGAAAUACAAGUUCGAUGUUGGGUAUUUCGAACCUGACAUCAAACUAGUAAUCUUAGCAAAAGGCUCCAAGAAAACACAUAUUUUCGCAGUUCUGCUCCAUUCUGUAGCUGUAGGCAAAAACUUAUGGUUUCUCCUAUCAUAUAUCUCCAACUUAACAAACGCUUCACGGUACGGAAAGGCUCUUUCAAGCAUAUAGAAUGUCGAGUUCCAUCUUGUCUGCACAUCCAUUAUCAAAUCAGCAUUCUCCUUUAUACCAGCAGCAUCCACGCAUUUUGCAAACGUCAUCUCACGCGUCUCUGACGCUGUUACAUACUUAACACUCUCUCUAACUUUGUGCAAAGAGUCUUUAAUAACCUUCAAACCAUCUUGCACAAUGAGGUUGAGUAUGUGAGCUGCACAUCUGAC